AUUAAUUAAGCUUUAAGCGGUAGAUUGUAAAUCUACAGAAGUGUUGGUCUAUAAAUCC
rnacentral:tRNA from 1 species